rnacentral:rRNA from 1 species
AACGAACGCUGGCGGCAUGCCUAACACAUGCAAGUCGAACGGGAUCCUGGCUUCGGCCAGGUGAGAGUGGCGGACGGGUGAGUAACGCGUGGGAACCUGCCCAUUGGUCUGGGAUAACUGCGGGAAACUGCAGCUAAUACCGGAUGUACCCGAGAGGGGAAAGAUUUAUCGCCGAUGGAGGGGCCCGCGUCAGAUUAGGUAGUUGGUGAGGUAACGGCUCACCAAGCCUACGAUCUGUAGCUGGUCUGAGAGGAUGAUCAGCCACACUGGGACUGAGAUACGGCCCAGACUCCUACGGGAGGCAGCAGUGGGGGAAUAUUGCGCAAGUGGGCGAAAGCCUGACGCAGCGACGCCGCGUGGGUGA